GAGUUUGAUCUUGGCUCAGAUUGAACGCUGGCGGCAUGCCUUACACAUGCAAGUCGAACGGCAGCAUGAUCUAGCUUGCUAGAUUGAUGGCGAGUGGCGAACGGGUGAGUAAUACAUCGGAACGUGCCCUGUAGUGGGGGAUAACUAGUCGAAAGAUUAGCUAAUACCGCAUACGACCUGAGGGUGAAAGUGGGGGACCGCAAGGCCUCAUGCUAUAGGAGCGGCCGAUGUCUGAUUAGCUAGUUGGUGGGGUAAAGGCCCACCAAGGCGACGAUCAGUAGCUGGUCUGAGAGGACGAUCAGCCACACUGGGACUGAGACACGGCCCAGACUCCUACGGGAGGCAGCAGUGGGGAAUUUUGGACAAUGGGCGAAAGCCUGAUCCAGCAAUGCCGCGUGUGUGAAGAAGGCCUCGGUUGUAAGU
rnacentral:rRNA from 1 species